GGCUUGGUGUAGUGGUUUGUGUGUUGGACUACAACUCUGGAGACCAUGGUUUGAAUCCCUGCUCAGCCA